UAGGAGGCGGGGGGCAGUCCUCGGGACUCCAGCCGGGCCUCGUGGCUGGUCAGGGGCUUACGUCUCAUGUACUUUUCUGUAACCCCCGGCCCCCCCCCCCACAGCUGCCCACACCCGCUGCGGCCUGCGGGCAGCCGCUUAAAGGGCACGCGCACCAUCACGCCGGGUGGGGGUCGGGGGUCACUGUGCCUGGACGAGGCCCCACAGGCCGGAGGCCAAGGGCUUCGGCUUAGCGCCCCCUGCGGAAGGCCUUGCCCACUCCUCUGGGCCCUCCCCUGUAGGCCGGCUCUCUCAGCCCCCCAUCCUGGCCCGGUCACCCUGCCCUGUCCUCUGGGCCCAGGAGAGAGCUAUUUCUGGAGAAGCAGGUCACUCUGUCAGAGCUCCAGGCUGACGCCGCCGUCCUUGCAGCCAUCCCAGCCGGGCUGGCGGCUUCUGAGAGCUCUGCCCACGCGCCCUCACCAGCGACACCCCCCCACCAAGCCCGCCCCGCCCAGGCCCGGGCUGCAGCCCUGCAGGACCACAGGAGCACGUAGAGAGAACUGGACCACCGUCCUCUGGCCCUCACUACCCAAGCCCGUGUCACCGUCAGUCACCCACCCCCACCCCAGAAAGCCCGCCCCCACCGGGCCAGCACACUGCGGAGCCAUCACUGUAUUGGGGCCACCCCGCUAGUGACCUGGAAGAGAAUUUACUUUAGCGUCCGAGUGGGUGGAUGUGGAAAGCCAGGGAAGAGGUCGCCAGCGGCUCUUUACUAUGGAUCUGGUCCCAGAACCCUCCCAACCUGGUAUUCAGAGCAUUCUCCUGAAAGCAAGAUCUCCCUUUGUAUUUUGCGGGGGGGAUACUGAGGCAUAUAUGGGCUAAGCCUGCUUUCCUUAACCUGGACCCUAAUUCCUUCCCCCAUCUUGUAAUUCCAACGCUUCCUCCUUCCUCCAGAAAACAGUAAGGUAGGGUUAGAAUGCAAAGCAGCACCGUUCCAUUCAAGGGCCUGUGUAGGGCCGCCGGUGGGAAUCGGGGCAACGGCUCCGCGGAGAGGCCCUGCCAAGGGCGUCCGGGCGGCCCCUGCGAGGGGGUGGGUGCAGCAUGGCCACGGCGGGGCUGAGGGGGGGCGGGGGUCCAUUCCCCGCAGGGCAGGCUGCCCGGGAGGCAGACACAGCCUUGGGAGAGAGACGGGAGGAGUAGGGUGCAGCUGAGUCAGUGUUUAAAUAUGCCCAAGUGGCUGCCACCCCAGGGGCAAGGCAGAAACGGGCUUGAGGGGAGGGAAAACAGGACCCAAAAUAGUUGCCGUGCUCACAGGCCGGGCGGCCGGCCACGUACCCGGGAGGGCCGCCCGCACCUGCCCCUGCCUGUCCUGCUGCCGCCUGGCUCCCAGGGAGCUUGUCGAGGGCCCUGGGGUCCCGCAGGUCCUGCGGCCCGAUGGCUCCCCGGGCCCGACCCUGGAGCGCCUGGAAUCAGAGCACUCUGCGUGGGAGCCCUGCGUGCGCCCCCCAUCGCCCCGCCCCAGGAGAGGCAGGAGGACGUGUUCCUUCCUGUGCUACAGAAACUGUGCCACCGCUGUCACCCUGGGGGCCCCCAAGCCCCUCCGGCCGGGGCUCUUUCCCUGGAGGGCGCGGGCGGCGCCGUCUGUCUGUCCGAGAGCCACGUCGCCAGCCUUCCCAAGCCCCCAGCCUCCCUCCCAUCCCCGCUUCCUUAGGCUCCCCCUCCAGCGGGCAGAGAGAAGCAGGCAUGGGGGCUCUCUCGGCAGCUCAGUUUCCUCGUCUGUAAAACAGAGCUGACGAUUGCUGCCUGCCAGAAUCGGGGAGGACAGGAGACCGGUGUGCGGGAGCGUCCGCCUCGCCGGGCCCGCCCCACGCCCAGGGGCGGACAGCCUGCCCGCGCCGCGGAGCUGUGGUCCCAGGUCUUGUCUGGGGGCCUGGGCUCCGUCCCGCCCGCCUCUAACCCAGCCAGGCACUCCCUGCCCCAGAGCCUGCUCCUCCGAGGGGCCUCCGUCUUGGCCAAUGGCACCGAGCUGCCCAGUGGGGACACUUGGGCCCUUUCCGGACCCCUCCCGUCGCUCUGCCCCGGCGACCUCCGCCCACCCAGCCCAGGCCUCUCUGCACUCUGCGCCGGCCGGCCUGUCCCCCAGACUCGCACGGCCUGUGUCCCCACGCCUCCCCGGCCUGCACGAGCCCUGACGGCCCCCGCGUGAUGCCCGGGCCCCGGCGCCCUGCUCACAGCGGCCGCUCUGCCUGUGUGCCCAGGUCCGCCCCCAGCAGACCUCCCAUCUGCCCAGGCCCCUCUGAGCCCCCAGGGCGAGCUCGUCCUGUGUGUCCCGCGGUGCCCGUACCACUGUGCUGCUCUCCACCCGCCUCCGCCCAGCUGCAGCCCCCCGAGACCACGAGCGGGCCCCUGCUUUCUCUGCCACAGGACAGAAGAGUCCAGAGCCUUUGCUGUGUCACCAGCGUCUAGAACCACGCCGGCCACAUGGGUGUCUGAUGUGUCGGUGUCCCUGGCGCUGGUCCUCUGCUGUCACCCUGGGACGAGCGACGUAGAGGCUCUAAGAAGCAGCACUUGGGAACCAUCAGAGCGACGUGCCACAACCUCCAAGCACGUGGGUGGAUCAGAGACGGCACAGGCCGCGACGUGGUCCCGCGUGGGAGGGCAGCUGGUCAGCCCGCGGCUGGAUGACAUUUAACAGUAACAAACUGGUCUCUCCUCACGGAUUGUCUGCGGAGCUCUGCUCUGGGGCACACAGUACUGCCUGGCACACAGUAGGUGCUCCAGAAAUGUUUGUUGAAUGAAUACACGACGGAAAAUUUAACCUCUGCCGCCACAUCCCUCAAAAGCAGGGGUGGCCUCGCGAUCUCUAUUCCUGAGAAGGGACGCUAGACCCCAGGCUCUGGCUCCAGAGCAGGGAGGACAUGCCUGCCCCGGCCCCCCCGGCCCCCCGACCUCGAGGGAGGACCAUAAGCCUGUCCGUCUCUGAGGCGAGGCUCCGAUACCAGCUCCCCUAGAAGGAAGGACCUUAAUUACCAGACGUCCCCCCACAGACAGGCCUCUCACUGGGCCCCUGGGGCCACGCUUGGCCGGAGGUGGGCCUGGUACGUGACCCUGACCCACAGGCCUUGCACCUCCUUCUGGAGGCGCUGGAGCCAGACCCUCCCAAAGUCCUGGGCCGAAAACAGCAGGGCUCAGGCUGCGUCUCCCCCUCUCACUGCCUCUAUUUUCGGGCUGAGUCCUCCCUCUCCAGGGGUCAGCCACCCUGGCCCGACUGCUCACCCACCCUGGCAGGCCCCGGGCUCUGUGGGGAGGGGGUGGGAGUGGGCUGGGCUCCCUCCAGGGGGCCUGCUUGGCCUCAGUCUCCCUGUGGGACCGCAGAGGGGCCGCACUCCUGCCCCAGGCACUGGGCCUUGCCCGACAGCUGGCCUGGGCCCCAGCCUCCCAGCCCCCGGCAGCCCCUUGGAGGGCUCUGGCAUCUGCAGCGUCCACAGAAGGACCCUAAGGGGCUGGUCGGGGCAGGGCUGCAGGGUAGCCAGGCAGCUGUGGUCACAGGUCCUGGGAAGGAGGCAGACCCAUCCCAGGGCUGAGGCUCCUUCCUUAGGCUCAAGGCGCUGUGACCUGUUAGGACACAAAUGUUACUGGGGGUGGGGGGAGUGGCAUUCCACUCUAUUUGUUAACUCUUUAAGGCACGUCUGCUUCAAUGAGCCAAGUGGGUGUGGCUGAGGGACAGGGAGCUGGUGCUUGUAGCGGGGCGGCGGGGGGUGGGGGU